UACAGAGGGGGCAAGCGUUGUUCGGAAUUACUGGGCGUAAAGGGCGCGUAGGCGGCCUGUUAAGUCGAACGUGAAAUCCCUGGGCUCAACCCAGGAACUGCGUCCGAUACUGGCAGGCUUGAAUCCGGGAGAGGGAUGCGGAAUUCCAGGUGUAGCGGUGAAAUGCGUAGAUAUCUGGAGGAACACCGGUGGCGAAGGCGGCAUCCUGGACCAACACUGACGCUGAGGAGCGAAAGCCAGGGGAGCAAACGGG
rnacentral:rRNA from 1 species